CAAGCAACACGGGGCUCUAUCCCAUGACCCUGGGAUUUAUGGCCUGAACUGAAAGCAGGAGUCAGACACUCAACCACUCAACUGACUGUGCCACCCAGGUGCCCCACCUUACAAAUUUUUGAGUGUCAAAAACUGAUAAAGAACCCUUAGAAAUGUUUAUUCUAAAUGCAUUGUGGAGAGAUAUUUUAAUAGAAGUUUUAAAAUAUUUUAUUGUUAUCCCAGAGCUGUGGAUCAUUGCCUGGCUUCUCUUCUACUGAAAUUUUCUCUGCUAUUGCUAAACCAACAACAGAAUGACCUUGCGUCCUCACACCUCAGUUGUUGGCUUUGUGAGAGGAGAAGAUGUGACCCAAGAAUACUGUUCCCUGAGCUCUAUAGCUUCACGUGAAAAGAUGAGCUUGCCCAAAUAUUUUUCUCUGUGGUACUCAACAAUGGCUUUGGAAUAGUCUCUUUGUUCUGUGGCCAAUGAAGGUUUCCUACUGAUGGCAGAUGGCAAUUUAUUUUUGAAUUGGCCUGGACAAGAAUACUUUUUUUCUUGGCUAUGGUGAUGAUUUUGGGAAGAUACGCCUCCGCAGAAUGUUAAUUCUGGCAGUAGAAGGAAGUAGGAUCCAGAAGAGAGAAUUGACAUUCCUAAGGUUACCCAGAUGGUGAAAAGCUGUCUCAAAGCUGGAAUCAAGUUCUCCAUGUCUUUGUUCUUUCCAUGAUUCCAUAUGGCUCCACCUGGUUAUGCUUUCCUAUGUGAAGACCACUAUUAGAGUUUUCUAGCUGGGACCUAUAAAUUAGACUGACAGAAGACAAAUUAGCAAGAAAAAAACAGGAAGAAUUUUAUUAAUACAUAUAUUGUGCAUUAAGAUGGGAAUACUCAGAGGGUCCUCUGGAUUUGAUAAAACUGUCAAAUGAGAUCAAGAAAGAAACAAUUUAUCAGAUGAUUUCAAUCCUUGGUUUGGAGGAAGAGACAUACACAUAACUUUGCCCUCAAAAUGUUGACUCAGUUUAGCCAUUGUGAUACCUGUCAUCAGGGCCAGCUUCAUGGGCACACAACUUGUAAGGUUGUACAAGGCCACCUGUAUUUGCUUUAAUGGUCUGCUCUCACUAUUCUUCAUGACUUUUGAACACAAUGAAAGUGCGUUUUCAUUUUGGUAGCCAGUCCUGUUGGCAAUACUUUCUAGGUUAAAAAAAAACUAGUAUAACUUAUGACAAGUAAUCCAUGAUUGACUGGGAUGGUCACCUAGUAUAAAUAAAAUUCACAUUCUCACCAGUCUCCGAGGUACACCAUGUUGAAACAUUUGCUGAAAGUGUGAGAAACCUCCAGGUAGAAUAAAAUUUCUAAAAGAAUAAGAAAAUUCCGAAUUGAAUAGUAAUGAACUGCUUUUAAAAGUUAAAUUCCAGAUAGAGUCAUUAUAUUUAUAUGAUUGCAUGUGUAACAUUCAUCAUAUUCUUAAAGACCUACAGAUUUGGUUUUGGCAACUGACAUUUUAACCAUACCUAAUGAUUGAAGUUAUACUUGACAAUGACCACAUAUGUUUUUGCACUCACACCUUAUUUUUUGUGUGUAUUUGUGUUUUUUUGUGUAAACCACAGAUAUUGGAUAUUAAGUUCUGGCCUCAGUUAUUGCUGGAGAAGGGAGAUGGUUAUUACCCAGAAAAGAUCUGUGCAAAUGCAACUGUUCCAUUCCUAUCAGGAAUAACAUUUCCAACUAGAAGAGUUUAAUUUGCCUCAUUUAUUGCCAUGGUGUGGACAAAUGCUGAUUUCUUGGGGAACAAUGUUUGUAUUGAGAGCAAAAACUCUGGUGUAGACAACCUAGAGGUGGGAGAGCUAUUAGACUUCCAGAGUGAGGCCAUGAUUUUGUAAGGUAUAUGGUAGUGGUGUCAUGGUAGAAAUCUAUAAAUAAAUGUGCAGUACCCUGUGGAUGGUCUUUGAGCUUGGUAAGACUUCAUAAUAAGGUCUGUAAUGUCAGAUGAAGCCUUCCAACCUAGUGUAGACCUCAUGGGUAGUAGGAUUUCCAGAUGCCCAGCUAAAUUUGAAUUUUAGGUAAGCAACAAAAUUUUUUUUAGUAGAAGUAUAUAUCUUAAAUGUUGCAUAAUUUUUAAGUAAUAGUAUGUCCUAUGAAACAUUUGGAACAUAAUUAUAAUAGGAAAAAAUGUCUAGUUUGUCUGAAAUUCAGCUUUAACUGGGUUUCCUGUAUUUUUAGCUGCUAAAUCUGGUCAUCCUACUUUAGGGCAACAUAAGCACGGGAUUCUCAGAAGAGAAUGCAGACUGGAUCAGAGCUAUUCCUUUAGCUACACUGCUUAGGGUCAAUCACUCCAUCACAUGGGGGAAACCCUAGAGGUCAGAUGAGAAC